CCUACGGGCGGCAGCAGUGGGGAAUAUUGCACAAUGGGCGAAAGCCUGAUGCAGCAACGCAGCGUGAGCGAUGAAGGCCUUCGGGUCGUAAAGCUCUGUCCACAAGGAAGAUAAUGACGGUACGUGGGGAGUAAGGCCCGGCUAACUACGUGCAAGAGGCCGCGGUACUACGUAGGGGGUUAGUGUUAUCCGGAAUUACUGGGCGAAAGGGGGGCGAAGGGGGUUUCUUAGGACAGGGGUGAAAGGCUACGGUUAACCCUUAGUAAGCCAUUGAAACUGGGGAACUUGAGUGCAGGAGAGGAGAGUGGAAUUCCUAGUGUAGCGGUGAAAUGCGUAGAUAUUAGGAGGAACACCAGUUGCGAAGGCGGCUCUCUGGACUGUAACUGACACUGAGGCACGAAAGCAUGGGGAGCAAACAGGAUUAGAUACCCGAGUAGUC
rnacentral:rRNA from 1 species